AUUGAACGCUCGCGGGAUGCUUUACACAUGCAAGUCGAACGGCAGCGCGGACUUCGGUCUGGCGGCGAGUGGCGAACGGGUGAGUAAUGUAUCGGAACGUGCCCAGUAGCGGGGGAUAACUACGCGAAAGCGUAGCUAAUACCGCAUACGCCCUACGGGGGAAAGCAGGGGAUCGUAAGACCUUGCACUAUUGGAGCGGCCGAUAUCGGAUUAGCUAGUUGGUGAGGUAACGGCUCACCAAGGCGACGAUCCGUAGCUGGUUUGAGAGGACGACCAGCCACACUGGGACUGAGACACGGCCCAGACUCCUACGGGAGGCAGCAGUGGGGAAUUUUGGACAAUGGGGGCAAACCUGAUCCAGCCAUCCCGCGUGUGCGAUGAAGGCCUUCGGGUUGUAAAGCACUUUUGGCAGGAAAGAAACGUCGCGGGCUAAUACCCCGUGGAACUGACGGUACCUGCAGAAUAAGCACCGGCUAACUACGUG
rnacentral:rRNA from 1 species